AUGAAUGGAUUUGAGCGUUGCCGUAAUUGGCUCGCUCUGAAAUGCAUUAGCUUUGCGUCUAUUAGCGCGCUCGGCGUGGUGUGAUAAUUAUCUUCACCUAGCUUAGGCCGCUUCCAAUGUCGCUGCUUCCAAUGGUCUUCACGGACAAAUCCAAUUAAAGCUUUGGCCUCAAAUCAGGUAGGACUACCCGCUGAACUUAA
rnacentral:misc_RNA from 1 species